rnacentral:rRNA from 1 species
UACAGAGGUCCCAAGCGUUGUUCGGAUUCAUUGGGCGUAAAGGGUGCGUAGGCGGCGCCGUAAGUCGGAUGUGAAAUCUCGGGGCUCAACCCUGAAACUGCAUUCGAUACUGCGGUGCUAGAGGACUCUAGAGGAAACUGGAAUUCACGGUGUAGCAGUGAAAUGCGUAGAUAUCGUGAGGAAGACCAGUGGCGAAGGCGGGUUUCUGGAGAGUUCCUGACGCUGAGGCACGAAGGCCAGGGGAGGCAAACGGG